rnacentral:tRNA from 1 species
AUUUAUAUAGUUUAAUAAAAACAUUACACUUUCAUUGUAAAAAUAAUAAAUCCUUAUUUAUAAAUA